rnacentral:rRNA from 1 species
UUGAAGAGUUUGAUCAUGGCUCAGAUUGAACGCUGGCGGCAGGCCUAACACAUGCAAGUCGAACGGUAGCACAGAGAGCUUGCUCUCGGGUGACGAGUGGCGGACGGGUGAGUAAUGUCUGGGAAACUGCCUGAUGGAGGGGGAUAACUACUGGAAACGGUAGCUAAUACCGCAUAACGUCGCAAGACCAAAGAGGGGGACCUUCGGGCCUCUUGCCAUCAGAUGUGCCCAGAUGGGAUUAGCUAGUAGGUGGGGUAACGGCUCACCUAGGCGACGAUCCCUAGCUGGUCUGAGAGGAUGACCAGCCACACUGGAACUGAGACACGGUCCAGACUCCUACGGGAGGCAGCAGUGGGGAAUAUUGCACAAUGGGCGCAAGCCUGAUGCAGCCAUGCCGCGUGUAUGAAGAAGGCCUUCGGGUUGUAAAGUACUUUCAGCGGGGAGGAAGGUGUUGUGGUUAAUAACCACAACAAUUGACGUUACCCGCAGAAGAAGCACCGGCUAACUCCGUGCCAGCAGCCGCGGUAAUACGGAGGGUGCAAGCGUUAAUCGGAAUUACUGGGCGUAAAGCGCACGCAGGCGGUCUGUCAAGUCGGAUGUGAAAUCCCCGGGCUCAACCUGGGAACUGCAUUCGAAACUGGCAGGCUAGAGUCUUGUAGAGGGGGGUAGAAUUCCAGGUGUAGCGGUGAAAUGCGUAGAGAUCUGGAGGAAUACCGGUGGCGAAGGCGGCCCCCUGGACAAAGACUGACGCUCAGGUGCGAAAGCGUGGGGAGCAAACAGGAUUAGAUACCCUGGUAGUCCACGCCGUAAACGAUGUCGACUUGGAGGUUGUGCCCUUGAGGCGUGGCUUCCGGAGCUAACGCGUUAAGUCGACCGCCUGGGGAGUACGGCCGCAAGGUUAAAACUCAAAUGAAUUGACGGGGGCCCGCACAAGCGGUGGAGCAUGUGGUUUAAUUCGAUGCAACGCGAAGAACCUUACCUACUCUUGACAUCCAGAGAACUUAGCAGAGAUGCUUUGGUGCCUUCGGGAACUCUGAGACAGGUGCUGCAUGGCUGUCGUCAGCUCGUGUUGUGAAAUGUUGGGUUAAGUCCCGCAACGAGCGCAACCCUUAUCCUUUGUUGCCAGCGGUCCGGCCGGGAACUCAAAGGAGACUGCCAGUGAUAAACUGGAGGAAGGUGGGGAUGACGUCAAGUCAUCAUGGCCCUUACGAGUAGGGCUACACACGUGCUACAAUGGCGCAUACAAAGAGAAGCGACCUCGCGAGAGCAAGCGGACCUCAUAAAGUGCGUCGUAGUCCGGAUUGGAGUCUGCAACUCGACUCCAUGAAGUCGGAAUCGCUAGUAAUCGUAGAUCAGAAUGCUACGGUGAAUACGUUCCCGGGCCUUGUACACACCGCCCGUCACACCAUGGGAGUGGGUUGCAAAAGAAGUAGGUAGCUUAACCUUCGGGAGGGCGCUUACCACUUUGUGAUUCAUGACUGGGGUGAAGUCGUAACAAGGUAACCGUAGGGGAACCUGCGGUUGGAUCACCUCCUU